rnacentral:rRNA from 1 species
AUUGAACGCUGGCGGCAGGCCUAACACAUGCAAGUCGAGCGGAUGAAGGAAGCUUGCUCCUGGAUUCAGCGGCGGACGGGUGAGUAAUGCCUAGGAAUCUGCCUGGUAGUGGGGGAUAACGUCCGGAAACGGGCGCUAAUACCGCAUACGUCCUGAGGGAGAAAGUGGGGGAUCUUCGGACCUCACGCUAUCAGAUGAGCCUAGGUCGGAUUAGCUAGUUGGUGGGGUAAAGGCAUACCAAGGCGACGAUCCGUAACUGGUCUGAGAGGGUGAUCAGUCACACUGGAACUGAGACACGGUCCAGACUCCUACGGGAGGCAGCAGUGGGGAAUAUUGGACAAUGGGCGAAAGCCUGAUCCAGCCAUGCCGCGUGUGUGAAGAAGGUCUUCGGAUUGUAAAGCACUUUAAGUUGGGAGGAAGGGCAGUAAGUUAAUACCUUGCUGUUUUGACGUUACCAACAGAAUAAGCACCGGCUAACUUCGUG